GGUCGUUAAUACCAUGGCCAAGUUGGUUAAGGCGUGCGACUGUUAAUCGCAAGAUCGUGAGUUCAACCCUCACUGGGGUCG
rnacentral:tRNA from 1 species